GAUGAACGCUGGCGGCGUGCCUAAUACAUGCAAGUCGAGCGAACGGACGAGAAGCUUGCUUUUCUGAUGUUAGCGGCGGACGGGUGAGUAACACGUGGAUAACCUACCUAUAAGACUGGGAUAACUUCGGGAAACCGGAGCUAAUACCGGAUAAUAUUUUGAACCGCAUGGUUCAAAAGUGAAAGACGGUCUUGCUGUCACUUAUAGAUGGAUCCGCGCUGCAUUAGCUAGUUGGUAAGGUAACGGCUUACUAAGGCAACGAUGCAUAGCCGACCUGAGAGGGUGAUCGGCCACACUGGAACUGAGACACGGUCCAGACUCCUACGGGAGGCAGCAGUAGGGAAUCUUCCGCAAUGGGCGAAAGCCUGACGGAGCAACGCCGCGUGAGUGAUGAAGGUCUUCGGAUCGUAAAACUCUGUUAUUAGGGAAGAACAUAUGUGUAAGUAACUGUGCACAUCUUGACGGUACCUAAUCAGAAAGCCACGGCUAACUACGUG
rnacentral:rRNA from 1 species